rnacentral:rRNA from 1 species
UGAGAGUUUGAUCCUGGCUCAGGAUUAACGCUUGCGAUGUGCCUAAGGUAUGCAAGUCGAACGAUUCCUGUGUCUUCGGAUACAGGGAGUGGCAAACGGCUGAGUAACGCGUAGGAACCUACCCCAAACUCGAGUAUAGCCCCGCGAAAGCGGGGGUAAUCCUCGAUAGUCCGUGAAGCAUCUUGCUUUACGGUAAAGCUUUUGCGGUUUGGGAUGGGCCUGCGUCCUAUCAGGUAGUUGGUGAGGUAAAUGCUCACCAAGCCUAUGACGGGUAGCUGGUCUGAGAGGAUGAUCAGCCAGACUGGGACUGCGACACGGCCCAGACUCCUACGGGAGGCUGCAGUGGGGAAUCUUCCGCAAUGAGCGAAAGCUUGACGGAGCAACGCCGCGUGAGUGAUGAAGGCCUUCGGGUCGUAAAGCUCUGUCCUUAGGGAAGAACACCCCAGUAGAUAAUAACUGCUGGGAUUGACGGUACCUUUGGAGGAAGCCUCGGCUAAUUACGUGCCAGCAGCCGCGGUAAUACGUAAGAGGCAAGCGUUGUCCGGAAUCACUGGGCGUGAAGGGUGCGCAGGCGGUCUAGUAAGUCAAAAGUGAAAUCCAUCGGCUCAACCGGUGAACUGCUUUUGAAACUAUUAGACUUGAGAAUAGGAGAAGAGAGUGGAAUUCCUGGUGUAGUGGUGAAAUACGUAGAUAUCAGGAAGAAUACCAAUGGCGAAAGCAGCUCUCUAGCCUAAUUCUGACGCUGAGGUACGAAAGCUAGG